UUUUUAAACAAGAGGGUAUUUAUGUAGAACUCUCCUGUGUGGGGAGAUAAAAUAAAAAUCCAACGCUAACAAAACGAAAAUAAAAUGCGCGGUGUAACUUAUCUUUCUUCAUCUGGGGAUUAUCGUAAACACUCAAAAUAUUGAAGGAUCGAUGGAGACGAAUGUUGUUUUGGUUUCUCCCUGAAUAGAACAACUGGAGAAUGUGAAAAGUGUUCCGUUGGCUUCUACGGUACCGAUUGUGCAACGAAAUGCAUUUACCCUACCUAUGGAGAGGACUGCCAGUCGAGAUGUCAGUGUUCCAAUGAAAUCUGUCAUUUUUCUCUUGGGUGUUUGCCAAUCACUGGAACUGUUACAGAAUAUCAAGAACUAAAUUCAACAAGAAAGUAUUUGGAGAAUAUAGAGUUUUCGUCUCCAACAACCGUCGAAGACGGCCUAUCAACAAGUACUCAUAAAUCCAGUGAAUCUACACGUGAAAAUUUACCUCAAAACAACGAUUUGUUAAAAAACAAUAUUGUUAUUAGCCUAUUAGGAAUAUUUGUCUUCUUUUUCUCUGUAUUUGUAAUGUCUUACAUCUAUCUCAAGUGUUUCCGAAAGAAAUCAAUUACAAGUGUAAUAAACGCAAGUGAAUCGCAAGCUCAAUAUAAGUCUUUAAACAUUAAUCUAGUAGAACCCGAAAAUACGGUACAACCAGUACCCACUAGACGAAUAGAAAUGGAUUCUGCAUACUUAUUACCGGUGUUCAGUCGUAAUGAAGAUAGUGAAUUUGAAAUAAAACUCGAAAGUGACAAACCGAUACUUGAUACCACUAUUCAUAGUUAUGAGAUUACAAAUAGACAAGAAUUAGACUCUAUGACGGAUAAUGUACACGAUCAUAUCUAUAUCGAGAUUACGAAAGACAAUACUGACAAUCCAAACACAGUCGUUGACAGUUGCUGAGGAAAACAAAGAUCAGUUACAUCUACAGAGCUUCGACCAGAUUUAGAGGUUAUCAAGUAUACCUACACUGUUUACAAA